rnacentral:tRNA from 1 species
CCGCCUAUAGCUCAGCGGUAGAGCACUCGCCUCUUAAGCGAUUGGUCCUUGGUUCAAAUCCAAGUGGGCGGA